GCGAGACUGAGUCUCUCAAAAAAAAAAAAAAGAAAAAGGAUUAACGUGUUUCUGACUGCAUGUGGAAUAUACCUGUUUCUCCUUUGUCUUCCACGAUGAUUAUAGGUUUCCUGAGGCCUCUGCAGCCAUGCUUCCUGGACAGCCUGCAGAACUGUGAGUCAAUUAAACCUCUUUUUUUUUUUCAGAUGGAGUCUCACUCUGUUGCCCAGCCUGGAUUGCAGUGGUGCAAUCCAUCAGCUCACUGCAACCUCUGCCUCCUGGGUUCAAGUGAUUCUUCUGCCUCAGUCUCCCCAGCAGCUGGGAUUACAGGCAUCCACCACCAUGCCAGGCU
rnacentral:lncRNA from 1 species